rnacentral:rRNA from 1 species
AACGAACGCUGGCGGCAUGCCUAACACAUGCAAGUCGAACGAGACCUUCGGGUCUAGUGGCGCACGGGUGCGUAACGCGUGGGAACCUGCCUUUAGGUUCGGAAUAACUCAGAGAAAUUUGAGCUAAUACCGGAUGAUGUCUUCGGACCAAAGAUUUAUCGCCUUUAGAUGGGCCCGCGUUGGAUUAGCUAGUUGGUGGGGUAAAGGCCUACCAAGGCGACGAUCCAUAGCUGGUCUGAGAGGAUGAUCAGCCACACUGGGACUGAGACACGGCCCAGACUCCUACGGGAGGCAGCAGUGGGGAAUAUUGGACAAUGGGCGAAAGCCUGAUCCAGCAAUGCCGCGUGAGUGAUGAAGGCCUUAGGGUUGUAAAGCUCUUUUACCCGAGAUGAUAAUGACAGUAUCGGGAGAAUAAGCUCCGGCUAACUCCGUGC